rnacentral:rRNA from 1 species
UACAGAGAGUGCGAGCGUUAAUCGGAAUUACUGGGCGUAAAGCGCGCGUAGGUGGAAAUUUAAGUCGGUUGUGAAAGCCCUGGGCUUAACCUGGGAAUUGCAUUCGAUACUGGAUUUCUAGAGUAUGGUAGAGGGAAGUGGAAUUUCCGGUGUAGCGGUGAAAUGCGUAGAUAUCGGAAAGAACACCAGUGGCGAAAGCGGCUUCCUGGACCAAUACUGACACUUAGGCGCGAAAGCGUGGGGAGCAAACAGG